UGUGUUCCCUGAACCUUGGACUUCCCAGCCUCCAAAACGAUUUUCAGGCCUGAAUGGCUGGACUUGAUUUUUGACAGGCCAGUCAGGGGGACUGUUCCUGUCUUCUGGCUGAUCACGCCGGACCUGGGGCCACCUCUGCGCCUUCGGCUCAGCUCAGCCGCUGUCUCAUCUGCUUGGCUCGGCGUCUUUGCAUCUGACUGCACUCUUUAUGGCCAUCCUGGAGCUUGAACUUGUUUGAUGAUUGAGGCCUUGCUGCAUGUGCGAAAUUUACGGUAAAGGUUGGCAAGGCAGACACUCAUAUGCAUCAUGGGAGUGUACCCUGCAACCACCUUUCCAGAAAACACACUGGUAAUAUAUAUCAAGAGCUUUAAAAUGCCCAUAUGCUUUGUCCCAGUAAUUACAUUUUUCUCAUUUGCUUAUU